AAUUUCAUAACAGGGAAUAAGGUGAGAGAUUUUUAUGCAAAUUGAUGUCCGAGAUACUAAACUUUCAGUUGCGCCUACUAGCGGUCUCCGAGUCCCCUGAAUUUUUCUUCGGAGAUUAAAAUACACUUCAAGUACCUAGAAAAAUCCUAAAAAAAUUCAAAAUCAAUGUUAGAAACCUCUUUUGGCUAAUUCUAGAAUUCUGGCAUGGAGGCUCCACCGUGCUCCAGCGAGGCACCGCCGCCCACGGCAGGGGUUUAUCUCAGGUUGGCCAUUUUUGGUCGGUUUUAUACUCAUUCCUGUAAGAAAAUGCGUUAAGGUGCCUCAGUUGGCCAAAAAAGUUGAA
rnacentral:lncRNA from 1 species